rnacentral:lncRNA from 1 species
AAUACUGUUCUGACAUUGUAAAUUUCAAAUGAAAACGACGAUAUUAAGAAAAUUUGUUUCAAUUUUAAUCCCUAAUAGGAUAAAUUAAGGUAAAAUGUGGGUGUAGAAAUUGAAGUGAUGCCCUUUCUCCCAAAAACCCAUUUCCCUAAUUUCCCAAAUUGAAUUGGAAUUGAUGAAGAAACAGAGGCAUAUGUGUUUAAGUUAAAUUCCUCGCAGACUCAUGCGUUGGUUGUUUUGUUUCUCUCUCUAUCUGUGCCGGUGUGGUAAUCAUUCUUAAUCACAGCCUUCAUAGUUGUCCUUGCGAAAAUUAGGGCAAAAUUAGGGAUUUGAAUUGGGGAUUUUCUGACAGAUUUGGGCGAAUUGGUGAAGAAAGUUCGAUGUUGAGAAGAAGCAACUGUGUUUCAUCUACAGGUACAAUAAUGCCCUUUUGAUUUUCCAAUUCUACUUGAAUUUCUCCUGAUAGAGAUAAAAUAGCAUUAGCCUUCUCCUUAUUAAUAAUAUUAAGCAAACAUUUGGGGAUUUUGUGAGGAAUUUUUGAAUUAGGGAUUUCAAGUAACAGGAAACAUGAUGGAUAGAAGUAUGAUUAUAUACAAAUGACAACAUGAUACAUACACCUUUGCGUGAAAAUAAUACUUGUUGUACGGAAUAUAAGGUAAAUAUGCAGCUAGUGCUUACUUAUUACAAACUUGUAAUCAUCACGCAAGAUGCUAAGAAUAUACUGGUAUGUGGUAACCGAGAAUUCUACGUGAAAUGCCUGUCUUGCUACCAUGCAUUCUUGCAGUUAGCCUUCUAUUACAUUGAUGCUUGCUUGACAAUAGGUCUGCGUCGACUUGGUGUACCGUUGCUACUCGAGGCAGCCAUAAACGCCCUCCACGAAUCUAUAUAAGCUGCUUCUUUUGGAUCGAUUCCU